UUUCCACCAUAUCAAAAUAAGGACAGUAAUGGAAAUUUGACAGUAAAUAGUAAUUUGUGUGAUUUUUAUGUUAAUGUGUGUCAUUGUCUGAAUCAGUUUGAACAUCUGUUAAUAGUUUUGUAGUAAAAAUAUAUACAGAUAUUCUGUGACUUCAUCAUUGUUUCUUGUUUCAUGAAAAAGAUGUUUAUUUGUAUCUUCUCUCUCUGACAAGAUCUUUGGUUUAUAAGGGGGGAAAAAAACAAGUAGUUUCCUUAAGUGUAGUUCCAUGUAAGUCUAAUGACAGCUGUGAUUUUAUCUGUUUCGAGAGUCCUUGUUCAACUCGCUCGGCUGCAUUUUUCAGCGAACAUGUAAAGAAGAGCACCUCCUGCACGUAGUAUAUUCAUUUUGUUUUAGUAUGAUCGGUGGCUGAAAGUUGGCUGGAUUCAGUUCGGAUGAUGGAGAACAGAGUGUUAAAGCGCUCGGAGGACUGUAAAGAUCCUCCUCAGCUCUUUACAUACUAUCAAGGUGACAUCAACACUGCAGUGGAUGAGCACUUUUCCGUGCCCUGAAUAAAGCAACCACACCAAAAGACCUCAGUACUAAAGCCAAGGACAGCAAUAGGACUCCCAAAGCUGAUGUACCAUCAUCAUCAUCAUGGGCUUCUUCUGGUCUAACAUGGCCUAAGUCCACACACACUUCCGGUUCUUCAAAGCUGACCCAGUUGACGUCCAUGGAACCUACACCUCCAUCCCAGGGAGUUAUUGUGAAUCCCUCAGUACUAUCAUCAUCAUCAUCCUCAUCCCUCUGGCCAUGCCCAUCCAGACAGGGCACGGCCUUCGAACUGCCUCAUAUAAUCUACCAACAGCCCAUGGCUGCUGAGAGCAGUGCCAACUCUUACCUGAACCUGCUACAAAUGGAUCGGCCAACAGGGGGCAUCAUGAUCUCGCCCUACUCAAAAUCAGAUACCAGACCAGAGUGGAAUUCUGGGACAGCCUUUAAGGAUGGAAGCAGGAUCAGCCUAGAUUCAGGUGUGCCUGUCUCAGAAAUAACUAAGGAUUUGUACUGGUAUUGAAGAAGUGAUUUCUGGCUCUGUGAUGAAAAUAUAUUUUCAGCAAAGGACUGCCUGUGUUUACAUUAUUAUAAGCUUAAGAAUUCUUUGCUUUUAGAACAUCUGGCAUAGUGAUUCAAACCAUUAUAUUCAUGGUAUCAAACAUUCCUCAGAGAUGAAUGGCGAUUAAUUGCUUAUUUUAGCCAUGAGCAUGUGAAGGAUCUUGUAGUAGAAUACCUGAUUGAAAAUAAUUUACUUCUCGUAGCUAUUUAAUGGGUGAAUGAGGAAGUAAAGUCUAUUUAUAUGAUUUGUAAUACAAUUAUAGUUUUACCAAACUUUCUUUGUGUAUAUUAUUCUGUAUUUUGAAAGUUAAUAUUAUUACUAUAGCAAUUCAAAAACUAUAGUCAUUUGUCAGGAAAAUAUAUUCUAUAUAGUUAUUUUUAGUUAAACUUUCUCUCUUAAAAGUUGCCCAUACCUUGGGGAUGAAAAAAAAAAACUUCAAGCAGUGUCAACUCUCUAAGUCAGGUUACACAGAAGGCCAAGUAAAGCUAAUGCAAUGGCAAAAGUGAACUGACAUGAGCAAACCAAAAAUAAAUGUUUCUGAAAUCG